UACGAAGGGGGCUAGCGUUGCUCGGAAUUACUGGGCGUAAAGGGCGCGUAGGCGGACAUUUAAGUUAGAGGUGAAAGCCCAGGGCUCAACCCUGGAAUAGCCUUUAAUACUGGAUGUCUUGAGUUCGGGAGAGGUGAGUGGAAUGCCGAGUGUAGAGGUGAAAUUCGUAGAUAUUCGGCGGAACACCAGUGGCGAAGGCGACUCACUGGCCCGGUACUGACGCUGAGGUGCGAAAGCGUGGGGAGCAAACAGGG
rnacentral:rRNA from 1 species